UAAAACGAGACCAACAACUCACUUAUGUCAUGACUUUACUAUCAUAUCUUAAAAAGUAGAUAGAACCUUCCCGCACAGAAAACCUUUCAUUUCCGCUCAGUCCAGAAAAGAGAUCCCCCCCAACAGAACCAUAACGAUGUAGAUGCCCUAUCUCAGUCCAUCGAUUAUCAUCCUCCACUGCUUUCCUUACUGUUUCAGGGAUUUUUUUCCAUUAGUUUCUUCACCACUGUGAGACUAUCCCCUUCCAAAAUGACCCUUUGGAAGUCAAGAUCCAGGCCCAUUUGAACUCCUUGGAGGCAUGCAAUCGCUUCCCCCGCAAAAGAAGAAGAUGUCCUUGAAAAGAGGCGUCAAAAUGGAUCUUUACAAAUGUCUGUUCAGGAGGCCGCCAUCUCUCUUGUUGGACACAUCUAGCAGAUAAGCGGCUUUUGAUCGCCUCUAGUUCUUUUAGAUACGAUACUAUGGAUCGAACCAUAUCUAUGUUCUGUUUGAUUUUUCUUUCAUGCACUUGUUUGUUCCUAUCACUCCAAAUCACCCAAAUGGCAUAGAUAAUUUUUCUGCAUAAAUCUGAUGAAGAAUUCAUGAAUAACCAAUCCAUCCAUUGCUUGUAACUUGCACAAGACAUUUCUGUAGGCCACGAGAUAUCUAACAUACUCCAAAUCUCCUUGACAGCUUGACAGUCGCGGAAGGCAUGUUCAAGAGACUCAUCUUCUUGUGUACACCUGGGACAAGCAGCCGAAUUUCGCAACCUUCUUUUCUGUAAAUUUAUGUAGAUAUGGAUAAAAUUUCUGUAGGCUCUCCAAAAUGUAAUUUUAAUUUUUUCUGGGAGCUCUGUAAGCCAUAUUUUUUUUGUAUACCUGCUUAGAUGCUUUCUAUUGUAAGGUAGGCUCCACUUCAGCAAA